CGCUGAUGGGAGGAUGGACGUACUGGUGUCUGAGUGCUCCGCGCGGCUGCUGCAGCAGGAAGAAGAGAUUAAAUCUCUGACUGCUGAAAUUGACCGGUUGAAAAACUGUGGCUGUUUAGGAGCUUCUCCAAAUUUGGAGCAGUUACAAGAAGAAAAUUUAAAAUUAAAGUAUCGACUGAAUAUUCUUCAAAAGAGUCUUCAGGCAGAAAGGAACAAACCAACUAAAAAUAUGAUUAACAUUAUUAGCCGCCUACAAGAGGUCUUUGGUCAUGCAAUUAAGGCUGCAUAUCCAGAUUUGGAAAAUCCUCCUCUGCUAGUGACACCAAGUCAGCAGGCCAAGUUUGGGGACUAUCAGUGUAAUAGUGCUAUGGGUAUUUCUCAGAUGCUCAAAACCAAGGAACAGAAAGUUAAUCCAAGAGAAAUUGCUGAAAACAUUACCAAACACCUCCCAGACAAUGAAUGUAUUGAAAAAGUUGAAAUUGCUGGUCCUGGUUUUAUUAAUGUCCACUUAAGAAAGGAUUUUGUAUCAGAACAAUUGACCAGUCUUCUAGUGAAUGGAGUUCAACUACCUGCUCUGGGAGAGAAUAAAAAGGUAUAUGUACACUCUUCUAUUAAUAUAUUAGUAUCUUAGAACUGCGUGGAACUAAGCAUUGUGGUAUGUGCCUAUAGUCUCAGCUA
rnacentral:sRNA from 1 species